rnacentral:piRNA from 1 species
UGGGAAAUAGGCAGCCCCAUCACGGCUC